rnacentral:rRNA from 1 species
GACGAACGCUGGCGGCGUGCCUAAUACAUGCAAGUCGAACGCAGUGGGGCCGGGUGAGUAACACGUGGGUAACCUCCCAUCAGAGGGGAUAACACUUGGAAACAGGUGCUAAACCGAUACUGAUGGAUGGACCCGCGGUGCAUUAGCUAGUUGGUGGGGUAACGGCUCACCAAGGCCACGAUGCAUAGACGGGCUGAGGGGAUAAUCGGCCACACUGGAACUGAGAAACGGCCCAGACUCCUACGGGAGGCAGCAGAAGGGAAUCUUCGGCAAUGGACGAAAGUCUGACCGAGCAACGACGAUUGAGUGAAGAAGGUUUUCGGAUCGUAAGACUCUGUUGUUAAAGAAGCGGUAUCUAACCAGAAAGCAACGGCUAACUACGUGCCAGCAGCCGCGGUAAUAC